CUCAAAUUGAGGAAGCAUAGUCGGACUAGGAGGCUUGAAGAUGUUAGGCAGCUUGGCUAUGAUAGGAUUAUUCUCUUUCAAUUUGGAUUGGGGGAGAAUGCAAACUAUGUUAUAUUGGAACUCUAUGCCCAGGGGAACAUCCUCCUUACAGAUGCUAAA